AGAGGGUGCGAGCGUUAAUCGGAAUUACUGGGCGUAAAGCGCACGUAGUCGGCUUUGCAAGUCGGGUGUGAAAUCCCCGGGCUCAACCUGGGAACUGCAUCCGAGACUGCAUUGCUAGAGUAUGGGAGAGGGAAGCGGAAUUUCUGGUGUAGCAGUGAAAUGCGUAGAUAUCAGAAGGAACAUCAGUGGCGAAGGCGGCUUCCUGGACCAAUACUGACGAUCAGGUGCGAAAGCGUGGGGAGCAAACAGGAUUAGAUACCCUGGUAGUCCACGCCCUAAACGAUGAGAACUGGAUGUCGGGAGGGUUUGCCUUCCGGUGUCGUAGCUAACGCGUUAAGUUCUCCGCCUGGGAAGUACGGCCGCAAGGUUG
rnacentral:rRNA from 1 species